GACGAAGGUGGCGAGCGUUGUUCGGAAUCACUGGGCAUAAAGCGCACGUAGGCGGCGACGUAAGUUGGGUGUGAAAUCCCUCGGCCCAACCGAGGAACUGCGCCCAGUACUGCGUUGCUUGAGGAUCCAAGGGGUGCAUGGAAUUCCCGGUGGAGUGGUGAAAUGCGUUGAUAUCGGGAGGAACUCCGGCGGCGAAAGCGGUGCACUGGUGGAUUACUGACGCUGAGGUGCGAAAGCCAGGGGAGCAAACGGG
rnacentral:rRNA from 1 species